CGUGUAGGCGGUUUCGUAUGUCUGACGUGAAAGCCCCGGGCUCACCCCGGGAGGUGUGUUGGAAACUGCGAGACUAGAGUCCCGGAGAGGAAGGUGGAAUUCCAGGUGUAGCGGUGAAAUGCGUAGAUAUCUGGAAGAACACCGGCGGCGAAGGCGGCCUUCUGGACGGUGACUGACGCUGAGACGCGAAAGCGUGGGGAGCAAACG
rnacentral:rRNA from 1 species